AAUAAACCAAUUUUUCACUUUUCACAUACAAUUUUUAACUCUUCGUCUUAUUCAAUUUUUUUACGAUUAAUAUUUUUGUUUUUAUUAGAUGAUAAAUCAUGAAUAGUGCUUUACAUAUGACUAAUUUUUUUCUAAUUUCCUAAAAUUUUUUCAAAUAAGACGUACAGUCAAACGCACGAAAACCAGAG
rnacentral:pre_miRNA from 1 species